rnacentral:rRNA from 1 species
UACAGAGGGUGCAAGCGUUGUUCGGAAUUAUUGGGCGUAAAGGGCGCGUAGGCGGUGCGGUAAGUCUGUAGUGAAAUCUCUGGGCUCAACUCAGAGUCUGCUGCAGAAACUGCCGUGCUUGAGUGUGGGAGAGGUGGGUGGAAUUCCUGGUGUAGCGGUGAAAUGCGUAGAUAUCGGGAGGAACACCUGUGGCGAAGGCGGCGAUCUGGGUAGAUACUGACGCUGAGGUGCGAAAGCGUGGGGAGCAAACAGGG